CGUGAAGUUCUAUAUUCUUCGUCGUCAUCAUCAUUGUAAAGUUCAAAAGAACAUGCAAGAAUCAAACAAAAGUAUAAAACUGGUUAGAAUAUUUAUGGUAAGAAUCCUCUUUGUACAGUUUCCAAAGUUAACACACUCUCAGAGGAAAAAGGUUCGCCACCCAUGUGAAAUUUACAUCUUCGGAUCUUCCUCACACUGUACAAAGCCAUGCAUACGCAUCAUAUCAUAUAACAAAGAAAGAAAGAAAGAAAGAAAUUUCAUCUGUAACUGUGAAUAUACAUCGAAGCAUAAUU
rnacentral:misc_RNA from 1 species